UGGGCAAGAUUGAAGGAAGAAUAGGAUGAGGAAGAAAGAAGAUGAGCAAGAAACGGAGGAAGGGUCAUUGGUGAGGAAUGGAUGGAGAUGGAGAGGCCAUUGUGAAGAGGGAACGCUCAUGAAUGGGUUUGGAGGAUAAGGAGGGAUGAGAAGAAAAAGUGGAUGAAAAUGAAGGAGAGGAGUGGAAAAGAGAAGUCGUCGAUAAGGAAUGGAUGGAG
rnacentral:lncRNA from 1 species